rnacentral:ncRNA from 1 species
UAAGGGUAAGGGACUGACGGUCUUUUCCCGGCAACGGGAAAAGCUAAGAGGGAACACGGUUCCGCCCUGACAGGGGUCAUUCCGUGGCUGCCCCCGCAACUGUAAGCGGCAAGCCCGCACCGUAAAGCCACUGAACCUCUAAAGAUGGUUCGGGAAGGCGGUGCCCGGGUGUUUUAAAGCCGCAAGCCAGGAGACCUGCCGUUUCAGGAAAAACGUCU